rnacentral:rRNA from 1 species
AUUGAACGCUGGCGGCAGGCCUAACACAUGCAAGUCGAACGAGUGGCGGACGGGUGAGUAAUGUCUGGGAAACUGCCUGAUGGAGGGGGAUAACUACUGGAAACGGUAGCUAAUACCGCAUACCAUCAGAUGUGCCCAGAUGGGAUUAGCUUGUUGGUGGGGUAACGGCUCACCUAGGCGACGAUCCCUAGCUGGUCUGAGAGGAUGACCAGCCAAACUGGAAUUGAGAAACGGUCCAGACUCCGAGGGGAGGAAGCAGUGGGGAAUAUUGCAAAAGGGGCGCAAGCCUGAUGCAGCAAUGCCGCGUGUAUGAAGAAGGCCUUCGGGUUGUAAAGUACUUUAAGCGAGGAGGCGUUACUCGCAGAAGAAGCACCGGCUAACUCCGUGCCAGCCGCCGCGGUAAUUC